rnacentral:rRNA from 1 species
UGCGGUGCUAAUACAUGCAAGUCGAGCGGACAGAAGGGAGCUUGCUCCCGGAUGUUAGCGGCGGACGGGUGAGUAACACGUGGGUAACCUGCCUGUAAGACUGGGAUAACUCCGGGAAACCGGAGCUAAUACCGGAUAGUUCCUUGAACCGCAUGGUUCAAGGAUGAAAGACGGUUUCGGCUGUCACUUACAGAUGGACCCGCGGCGCAUUAGCUAGUUGGUGAGGUAACGGCUCACCAAGGCGACGAUGCGUAGCCGACCUGAGAGGGUGAUCGGCCACACUGGGACUGAGACACGGCCCAGACUCCUACGGGAGGCAGCAGUAGGGAAUCUUCCGCAAUGGACGAAAGUCUGACGGAGCAACGCCGCGUGAGUGAUGAAGGUUUUCGGAUCGUAAAGCUCUGUUGUUAGGGAAGAACAAGUGCAAGAGUAACUGCUUGCACCUUGACGGUACCUAACCAGAAAGCCACGGCUAACUACGUGCCAGCAGCCGCGGUAAUACGUAGGUGGCAAGCGUUGUCCGGAAUUAUUGGGCGUAAAGGGCUCGCAGGCGGUUUCUUAAGUCUGAUGUGAAAGCCCCCGGCUCAACCGGGGAGGGUCAUUGGAAACUGGGAAACUUGAGUGCAGAAGAGGAGAGUGGAAUUCCACGUGUAGCGGUGAAAUGCGUAGAGAUGUGGAGGAACACCAGUGGCGAAGGCGACUCUCUGGUCUGUAACUGACGCUGAGGAGCGAAAGCGUGGGGAGCGAACAGGAUUAGAAUC